GAUGAAGAACGUAGUGAAAUGCGAUACUUGGUGUGAAUUGCAGAAUCCCGUGAACCAUCGAGUCUUUGAACGCAAGUUGCGCCUCAAGCCAUUAGGUUGAGGGCACGUCUGCCUGGGCGUCACAUAUCGAUGCCUGAUGCCAGUCUCCUCGUGAUGGGUGACUGUGCAGGGCGAAUGAUGGCUUCCCGUGAGCAUUGUUGCCUCAUGGUUGGUUGAAAAUUGAGUCCUUGGUAGGAAGCCCCGUGAUAGAUGGUGGUUGAGUGACGAACGAGACCCAAUCAUGUGAGACCCCUACCGAAUUUGGCCUUCAUGACCCACAUGCGUCUUUGGAACGCUCAUGACGAGACCUCAGGUCAGGCGGGGCUACCCGCUGAGUUUAAGCAUAUCAAUAAGCGGAGGA
rnacentral:misc_RNA from 1 species